rnacentral:lncRNA from 1 species
UGGAGGUCUUGUGUUCAAAUCCCUAUGUAAGCAAGGGUAUUUUUUUUUUUGCUCAGAUUUUGGGAUAGAGUUGUGCAAUAAGGGGAUUCUGAGUAGUGGGAAUUAGGGGAAAAGAUUAAGGGAUUUUAGAGGUUAUCAGGAUUUUAUUUUCUUUUUUUUCCAUAACCGCAUUUUGACUCUCUUUUCCAAAAAGAAAUCCUGCCAUCUAUUCUUC